AUUGAACGCUGGCGGCAGGCCUAACACAUGCAAGUCGAGCGGCAGCGGGAAGUAGUUUACUACUUUGCCGGCGAGCGGCGGACGGGUGAGUAAUGUCUGGGGAUCUGCCUGAUGGAGGGGGAUAACUACUGGAAACGGUAGCUAAUACCGCAUGACCUCGCAAGAGCAAAGUGGGGGACCUUAGGGCCUCACGCCAUCGGAUGAACCCAGAUGGGAUUAGCUAGUAGGUGGGGUAAUGGCUCACCUAGGCGACGAUCCCUAGCUGGUCUGAGAGGAUGACCAGCCACACUGGAACUGAGACACGGUCCAGACUCCUACGGGAGGCAGCAGUGGGGAAUAUUGCACAAUGGGCGCAAGCCUGAUGCAGCCAUGCCGCGUGUGUGAAGAAGGCCUUCGGGUUGUAAAGCACUUUCAGCGAGGAGGAAGGGGUUGAGUUUAAUACGCUCAAUCAUUGACGUUACUCGCAGAAGAAGCACCGGCUAACUCCGUGCCAGCAGCCGCGGUAAUACGGAGGGUGCAAGCGUUAAUCGGAAUUACUGGGCGUAAAGCGCACGCAGGCGGUUUGUUAAGUCAGAUGUGAAAUCCCCGCGCUUAACGUGGGAACUGCAUUUGAAACUGGCAAGCUAGAGUCUUGUAGAGGGGGGUAGAAUUCCAGGUGUAGCGGUGAAAUGCGUAGAGAUCUGGAGGAAUACCGGUGGCGAAGGCGGCCCCCUGGACAAAGACUGACG
rnacentral:rRNA from 1 species